rnacentral:rRNA from 1 species
GACAGAGGGGGCAAGCGUUGCUCGGAAUUACUGGGCGUAAAGGGCGCGUAGGCGGAAUGGCAAGUCGGUCGUGAAAUCCUUCGGCUCAACCGAAGAACGUCGAUCGAAACUGCCGUUCUUGAGGAUUGCAGAGGAGACUGGAAUUCCCGGUGUAGCGGUGAAAUGCGUAGAGAUCGGGAGGAACACCUGUGGCGAAGGCGGCCGACUGGGCCGACCCUGACGCUGAGGCGCGAAGGCGUGGGGAGCGAACGGG